GACGAACGCUGGCGGCGUGCUUAACACAUGCAAGUCGAACGGAAAGGCCUCUUUCGGGGGGUACUCGAGUGGCGAACGGGUGAGUAACACGUGAGUAACCUGCCCUUGACUUUGGGAUAACUUCAGGAAACUGGGGCUAAUACCGGAUAGGAGCUCCUGCUGCAUGGUGGGGGCUGGAGAGUUUCGGCGGUUGGGGAUGGACUCGCGGCUUAUCAGCUUGUUGGUGGGGUCGUGGCUUACCAAGGCUUUGACGGGUAGCCGGCCUGAGAGGGUGACCGGCCACAUUGGGACUGAGGUACGGCCCAGACGCCUACGGGAGGCAGCAGGGGGGAAUAUUGCACAAUGGGUGGAAGCCUGAUGCAGCAACGCCGUGUGCGGGAUGACGGCCUUCGGGUUGUAAACCGCUUUCGCUCAUGACGAAGCUUUGUGUGACGGUAGUGGGUAAAGAAGCACCGGCUAACUACGUG
rnacentral:rRNA from 1 species